UGCACUUCAGUGUGUUUUACCUCACUUUUGGUAUACAGUUCCAGCUUCGUCUCCUGGGGUUGACCUGUCUAUUAAACGAGGGCUGAUGGGGACUAAAAUUUCUCAUGGUGCGUGAAUACUAAUGCCUACAGCUGGAAUAAAGCAAAAUCUUACUACUAGUCUUGGCAGAGGCUUCCAGCUAGGUAGUGUCAUGGAUAAGAAAUACUUCGGCAUUAACGCCAGAAGUGGGAUCCCGUUCAUGUGCUUCGUUCGUUCCCGCUUGUCCACAACGACCUGAAGGUGUUGAAAAGACCACACACUAGAAGUAGAAGGGACGACGACGUUUCGGUCCGUCCUGGACCAUUCUCAAGUCGUGACCACCUGGAGGUGGUCAGCCGGGUACACAUUCUCCUGCACAAACUGGUCUCUCACUGGAGGGCUCGGGCGACCACAGCCAGACAACGGGGAAGGCAACGAGGACUCUCUGGUACUGAACAUCUCUAAGAACGUCGUGAAAUGACACAUUGCCUGUCACCACGUCAAGGCCGUUGUCAAAGACCAGCUUUUGAUAUAUUUUUGACCCAGAAAAUGUCUUGACUUCCCCGAAUGUUGACGCUGUAAAAUAUUAAAAUUUAAACUAGCUCA